GAUGAACGCUGGCGGCGUGCUUAACACAUGCAAGUCGAACGAAGCACCUCUCCCGAGGAUUGACACAGCUUGCUGUAGAUUGAUUCAUUUGAGGUGACUGAGUGGCGGACGGGUGAGUAACGCGUGGGUAACCUGCCUCAUAGAGGGGGACAACAGGUGGAAACGACUGCUAAUACCGCAUAGUAAGAAGAAUUCGCAUGUUUUCUUCUUGAAAGAUUUAUCGCUAUGAGAUGGACCCGCGUCUGAUUAGCUAGUUGGUAAGGUAACGGCUUACCAAGGCGACGAUCAGUAGCCGGCUUGAGAGAGUGAACGGCCACAUUGGGACUGAGACACGGCCCAAACUCCUACGGGAGGCAGCAGUGGGGAAUAUUGCACAAUGGGGGAAACCCUGAUGCAGCGACGCCGCGUGAGUGAAGAAGUAUUUCGGUAUGUAAAGCUCUAUCAGCAGGGAAGAUAAUGACGGUACCUGACUAAGAAGCCCCGGCUAACUACGUG
rnacentral:rRNA from 1 species